rnacentral:sRNA from 2 species
GAAGAAUCUCCUUUCAUCGUGUUCGUACGUAGGUUGGGGUGACGCGUGCUUGCCGUCAUGGCGCUCGGUCCUGUGCCGAUGGCGAUGGGGUGAGGCCAUGGGUUAGAAAUUCGCAGUUUCCGGUGACAGAUAAAGGAAAAAACCUCGGGAGCUGAGGGCUGUUUUUCGAGUUUUUUCCUCGGGUGUUCGAGGGCUCUGCGCCGU